AAUUUUUUAAGUAUAUGCAUUUAAACUGGUUUCUUUAAUCUGCGUUUCUUCACUCUUCCUGCGAACCCUCAUCUCCAUGUGAAACCCUUCUCGGUGCGAACCCUCCUCUCCUGCAAAACCCGUAACCCGUAUCUCAUCUUCGACACAACCCUUCUUUGUGUGAUCAGGUCUCAAACACGACUUCGCCAUCGCAUCUCAACAUCUCUGCCAUCAUAUGGUGUUGUUGCCUAUCCCUCACAAAAGUUUUUUCCAAAGAACAAUAAAGCUAGCGAAGAUUAUGGUUGUGGUCGUGAUUAAGAUGAUUUUGUAGCUUUCAUUAAUGAGAAAUGUGACACCAAUUGUGAUGAACAUGGUCAACUUACUUAUAAUGUUACUUUAUUAAUGUGUUUACUGUUUAAUUAAGCUAGAACACUAUAUUUGAUAGCUUAAUGGAUUAAUUAUUAUUGAUUUAGGCUGGUAUAGUAGCAUCUCUAGAUAAUUUGAUGAAGGAGUUUAUGAGUGUUGAUGAUGAUGAGAAGAAAAAGGUUGUCUUUUCUCGACUUGAAGAGGAAGUUAAGAAACUUAUGGGUUCUGCUGCAAGGUUUAAGCGAUAUCAUGUUUCCUUUUUUGUUUUGAUUUGCUUAUCUAAGACAAUUUCAUUGUAGAUAAUGCAAAUCAUGUUAAUCUAUAAAGUUAAUGCAGAUCAAGUUAAUGUGAAUCAUGUUAAUGACAUUCCUUCAACUAUCA